ensembl:lncRNA
UUGAUGGACGCGAGCUUAAUGAACCCAGGAUAAAGGAAUUAGCCCAAGCAGAAGGCAGAAAAAGCAUUAAGAGCAGGCGAAGACUACAUUGGCAUAGUGGCAACAACAACCACUGCAACUGAAGGCCAAUGACCACGUGACUGACUGCUCUAGACUGAAUAUCUGUGUUUCCCCAAAUUCCUAUGCUGAAAUCCUAACACCUGACGUGAUGGUAUUUGGAGAUGGGGCCUUUGGGAGGUGAUUCGGUGAUGCAGAUGGAAGCUUCAUGAAUGAGAUUAGUGCCCUCAUCAAAAAGACACCAGAGAGCUACUUUAAUCCUCCCACCACGUAAGAACACAGGGAGAAGAGGUCCCUCUAUGAAUCACCAGACACCAAAUACGACCUUGAUCUUGGACUUCCCAGCCUCCAGAACCAUGAGUUUACGCCACACAAUCUAUGGUGUUUUUGUUACAGUAGCCCGAACAGACUGAAACUCUGACCGUGGAAGUUAUUCUAUUUUCUUUUCUAAAAUAGUUGAUCAUCAAAACAGAUUGACUGGAUUGCAUAAACCCCUCUCAGUCUUGGGACUUCUUUUGGGAAGGAAGACCUCAGGGAUGGAAGAAAUCUUCCCUCCACAGGUGGAUUGAGGGGUUAGAGUAACUUAAUUAGAAUAUUGAAAGAAAGGUACCUUAUUUUGCUUCCAAAGCUGGUAACUCCGUACAGAACAAUUCCAUAUUUCACUGUGCAGAUUAUCAGGGAGCCAAUAAAAAGGAUGUGUCCAUUCAACUGCUGACUGUCUGUAGUACUGAUUUAAUGGUCUCAAGAAAAGUUUGAGAAAUGAGUAUUUCCUGCUGGGAGCUGUGCUCACAUAAAGAAAUGGAAGAGCCUGCAAACAGAGGAUAGACAGUGAGAAAACAAGUUUGAAGCUCGUCUUCAUGAAUUAAUUAUAAAAUGCCUGAAGUAGAAGAUUGGAUCUGGUUUAAAAAAUAAAAAUGUCCUGCAAUUUAAAUCACUGAGCUGUCCCCAUAACCAUCAGCCUCUGGCAAUGAUCUCUGAACUCAGGUCUUUCUUUUCACAGUCCUUGUGAAAUAAUGAAUCACUUCUUGAAGAUGACAGGUGGAUAAAAUAAGAGAUGAAACAACAAAUAAGAAAAUAAGCCAUUCUCUUCCAGGAAAAAUGGAACAAGGAGCCUUCAAAUCUCCUAAGCUUUGCUGUGAAAAGUUUCUUUCUUAAAUAGUUAGAGCAAAUAUUUACUUAGUUCUGCCACAUAUCCAGGACCAGGCUUUUGGAAUGAGUUACAGUCUUCUUUCAAGUGUUUCACUACUGAUGAAAAUAUUCUGUAAUAUAAUGGCUUUAUUUUUAACACACUUUCUUUUUGAAACAUUGUGUAGUCAAAUCUUCCCAAGGCCAAAUAGGUUUUGGUCAGACAAAUUAGAUCAUGCCCAGCAAGUGGCAGCAUGACAAAAGGAUGCCUUAAAUACUGCCAGGGGAACCAUCCUGGUCUAUAGGUAAUAAUCACUUGAUUAGAAACUUUGUUCAUGUCAUUGUGGGGGUCAAUUAUCAUUGCUGUCUACAGGGAAAACCAGGGACUUGUAUAUCUCAGAGCCUGACUUCACUUUCUCUUUCAAUGGUAAUUAACCUUGGAGGCCUGUCCCUGCUACCUGGAAACUGUCCUUGAAGAGAAGAUUUGUGGGCAAUAGGUUACUGAUGCAAACACUCGGGAAUAACACCUGUGAGGGUGUGAGAGACGCAAGAUGGAGCAGAGGAAGAAGUUGAGCUGAUGCUGCUGCAGCCGAGGCCUGAACCUCUCCCAUAGGACGUUGCCUGAAUUUAGGCGAGGAGGCAAAGUUUCAAUAUUCCACCUUAAUCACUUUGAGAUGUGGGCCAUCCUCAGGGAGGGACCUCGCUUGGGUAAGGCAGCUUCCUUUGGCCGAGAGAAAUGCCUGGAGACAGUGCUGGAGUCCUCAGCAGCUAACAUUCCCUCCCCUGCCCACCCCACCUCCGGGGGAACACAUUCCUUGGUUCUGGCUGGGAUGGAGAGAGAUGGAGGGAGAAUCUGGCUGACACAGCAUAGAUCCACUGCAAGG